CGCGCCCUUCAGCCCUCAAGGUGCCGGGGCGGGGGGGGGGGGGGGGGGGUGUCACGUGGCGGAAAUGUGGCCUCUCGCCAACCCCAGCCUGCCUCAAACCGGAAGUUUAUGUGGUUGCCUGGGAGACCGGACUUCGCCCUAGGGCCCGGGCAUCACACACAGCUGAGCCCACAGAGGCCCCGCGAGCGGGCGCCGCGUGGCGGAGUGAGCUGAAGCUGCAGCCUGGGACCCGGUCGAUCGUGAGGAAAGACGCGGCCACACUGUCCCGAGGAAAUGCGGACCGAGGUUUGCAAGCCACUUGUCAGAACAAAGCACUUAAGAAAUUUUACUGAUAUUGUGGCCCCCUUUACUACUUGGACUCCCUUGCCUUUCGAUCUCAGAAUCACCACUAGCUCCCUUCUGAUUAAGCAAGAAUUAAGCGGGGCUUUUAGUUGGACACUGAAAGCUGAGAUGCAGAUAGUGAUUCUGGAAGAGGGGUAGUAAUGCGCCCAAACGUGCCCAUCCUGGAACCCUUGGUCUACACAGGACCCACUAGGCACACCUACAGCGUACCAAGCUCGGUAGCUCACCUCAGGGCAGCCCCUCACAACCUAGUACACAUCAGGAUUACCUGAGGAGUUCCUGAAGCUGCAGACUGAGUGAAGGGAUACAGGAAUAGCAGUCUGGCCAAGCUCUCCAGAUGACUUUAAUACAAGUGGUCCACUGACCCCACAAUAAGAAACAUGCUCUUGAAAAAAGUUUCAAACUCCAGGCAUAUAAUCUGCGAUCCGGCCAAAGAGCAGCCGUCCGACUCCUGAAGUGAUGCCAAUGCACAUGAGAACCACCUCUUUAUUUUUUCCAUCUUGAAAUCUUUCAUUCACAUAUUUCAUCUGUGGACCAUCAAGAAAGAAGCAACACUAAAUACGGAGGACCUGAACCAAACUGACACUCCUGAAACAGCUGGAGUGGAGCUUCCAGGAUAAAGCAGAAGUACAUAAAUAUCUUAUUUAAAAGUCACACUCUUCAGAGGAGCCAGGCUCAAGCCCUGGCCAUACCAGCUACCAGCCUUGCAUGAUUGCCUAUCUCACAGUGUGGCCCUGAGACUCCAGUGAAAGAUAACGUUUGUGGGAACUUCUUGUAUGUCAAACGUCAAUAAAAAGGGAAAUGAGUAAAUGUUGCAUUUGUUUAAGAAACUGGUGGUUUUGAGCAAAUCCCUCCAUGGCUGUGAGGACUGGACACGCUGAAUCCUAAACCACAUGCUCGGGAGCUCUGGACGCAGCAGCUGU